rnacentral:rRNA from 1 species
CCGAGAAUAUUCGACAAUGGGCGAAAGCCUGAUCGAGCGAUACCGCGUGGUGGAUGAAGUGCUUCGGCACGUAAACACCUUUUAUGGAGGAGGAAGUUAUUGACGUUACUCCAUGAAUAAGGGGCUCCUAACUCUGUGCCAGCAGGAGCGGUAAUACAGAGGCCCCAAGCGUUACCCGGAAUUACUGGGCGUAAAGAGUGCGUAGGUGGUCGUGUUAGUCGUUUGUUAAAUCCCACGGCUCAACUGUGGAGAUGCGGACGAAACGGCACGACUCGAGAGCGUGAGAGGUACAUGGAACUCAUGGUGUAGGGGUGAAAUCCGUUGAUAUCAUGGGGAACACCGAAAGCGAAGGCAAUGUACUGGCGCGUUUCUGACACUCAAGCACGAAAGCGUGGGUAGCGAACGGGAUUAGAUACCCCUGUAGUCC